UUAAGUUCAGCGGGUUUUCCUACCUGAUUUGAGACCAAGUGUUCAGAGGAAUCCCUUUCGAGACGCCUCUGGAUAAUAGUUGAGUCACCCGAACAAAAAACACCAUGAAAUCCUUGUAACAAGACGUAAAAAGAGAAUAAACUCCUCAUGCGCUUGAACUUGAACCACAGUGUUCAGUCCAAUGACAUUGAAUUUCAGAC
rnacentral:misc_RNA from 1 species